rnacentral:rRNA from 1 species
AACGGCCGCGGUAUUUUGACCGUGCAAAGGUAGCAUAAUCAUUAGUCUUUUAAUAGGAGGCUGGUAUGAAUGGCUCGACGAAAUAUCAUCUGUCUCAUUAUAAUAGAUUAUAAUUUAUUUUUUAAGUUAAAAAACUUAGGUUUAAUUGGAAGACGAGAAGACCCUAUAGAGCUUUAUUUUUAUUUUAUAAUAUUAUUCUUGUUUAUUAUUUUAUACUUAUUAAUUAAGAAUUUUGUUGGGGUGAUGAGAAAUAUUUACUUAACUUUUUUAUUUAUUAAACAUUUAUGUAUGAUAAUUAGAUCCAUUAUUAUUGAUUGUUAGACUAAGUUACCUUAGGGAUAACAGCGUAAUCUUCUUUGGGAGUUCGAAUCUACAAGGAGGCUUGCGACCUCGAUGUUGGAUUAAGAUAAUGAUUAGGUGCAGUAACUUAAUUAAUAGGUCUGUUCGAC